UCUCAAUAUACAGGAAGAAAACAAGCCUGUAAGAUGAAAUACUUCUACCUGGUUAAUAAAUACAGAAAUCGAUUCUUCCUCCAUUGAAGUCUAUCUUUUCCAAUGGGACCAAUCCACAUGCAGAUGCAAAGGCACUCAUGUUUGCUCAACAUGUAGAAACAAGAAAAUCACACAGAGCAAGAGUGACAGAAAUGUAAGAUGCUAUGGAA
rnacentral:lncRNA from 1 species